rnacentral:tRNA from 1 species
GGGCGAGGUCUCUGGUUCAAGUCCAGGAUGGCCCAAGGCGGUGGUUUACCCUGUGGCGGAUGUCAGCGGUUCGAGUCCGCUUAUCUCCA